AAGUAAAAUAAUUCCCUCCCCUGGUUUCCCCCAAAGAAAUUAAUUCGUACUCCCUAAACCUAACUUUACAUCCCCAAUUCAUUGAUAUCAACCUCCGUUCCCCCUCUUAACCCUAAAUCGGCAACCUCUCCAAUAUCAAUUCAUCAAUCUCCUGCUAUCAUAUGCGCGCUAUGGAUGAGGGCGAGCACGAAGGAAUGUAAUGGUGAUGAUUGUCGAUGGUGGUUCCGUACGAUGAUACUCGAAUCAUUUAAAUGCCGCUUUUCUAGAAGGAAUUCCUUAACUUCUUGUUUAUACAAAUCACAAAGCCCUUGUUUUAAGCAAUUAGGACCCUGCUAUCAUUUUCAUGCCUGCAUUCAUUUUCAGGUUUUGGAAGAUGUGUAUGAGUUUUUCUGCAAAUAGCCAACUUGUAAAAGCACUCUGUUACUAGUGUCUUGAUUCACGAAGUGGUGCCAACAUAAGGGUUAAACUCAUCUGGAUUAACGUUAGGUGUCCACGUUAGCCAGGAGGUACUGAAUGCGGCUACUAUGUGAUGAAGUUCAUGAAGGAGAUAGCUUACGAAGGAGUUGAAAUACUUGACAAUGAUAAUGUUGGGAAAUGAGUAGAGAGAUACUCGGCUGCGGAUAUGGAUGGCAUUCGCGAAGAUUGGUCUACUUAUGCGGUUACCUCUAUUUUUAAGUGACAGAUCGUAUUUUAGGUGUUAACGAUGUAUUGACACACAAUUCUUUUUUUUUUGUUAAUGUUAAAAUAUUUGUAGUAUACUUGACACGUGAUUAUGUAAUGGAUUGUUUUGGUAUAUAUA